ACCUGUCUUCAGAGUGGCCGUUAGCUGAGUACACUCUGGGGAGGGGAAUCCGCUCCCUCCAGAGGCAGCGCGGGACGGCUCUGUCAGUAAGACCUUCAUUUUGGACCAGAGUCUGUCUCUCUGAAGCUUCUGACCUUUGGUCUUGUAUUUACUUCUGGGGACCUUGUAGAACAAGCCAACUCCUUCUUGUGACAGCAGCGGUGUCCUUCAAGUUUCCUCUCCUGCAGUGACUUACUCAGAACAUAGUUGUUUACUUGUGCAUUUAUAAUUCCACACCCACCUACUUCCAAAAAGCAUGAGGCCUAUGAAGUAGUAGCUCGUAAGUAUCUGUGAAUGAAUGGAAUGGGCAAAUGAAUGGAACUCUCUCAGUGGGAGCUGGUGAAGAUUUCCCCAGCAGAAAGCGGGAGCUCAGAGUCCUAUAGACAAGACUGGGGAGAUUGCAGAAGACCAUCUGGGUAGUGCGCUGGUCUUCUGGGUCCAGGAACCCCGCUCAGGCCUCAAGCUACCCGUAAUGAGAAGUCCGCCGUCUGCCACCUGCCUCACGGAUCUGUCCUGAGGAUUAAUGAGAU
rnacentral:lncRNA from 1 species